GUGUGUUGGACUGUGGAUGAAAAGGACAUCGCAGAGCAUCUUAGGAUAAGGUUGAAGAAAGAACAAGAAGCAAAAGAGGACAAAAGAAGAUACAAAGCUCAGGCUCACCUUCAUACUAUUAUCAAGGUUGCACGUGAUGAAGACCUAGUAGAACAGAUUGGAAAGGAUAUUUAUUUUGAUCUUGUGGGUCAUGAAAGGGUUCAUAGUUUUUGUAUUCAG